ACCUUCAUUUGAUCUCAUGUCCACAGUCUGCUCUGCCAGUAGUUUACAGCCAGAGGCAAAGCAAACCAAGAACACAGAGCCAUCUACAGGGAAAAAUCCUGGGUAACUACUUCUUCUCAGAAAAGCCCAUCACCAUCUCCACGCUCAAGAGAAUAGUGCUGGACCCCUACCUCACACCAUGUACCAAAACUAACUCAGAACAGACCAACAACCCUAAUGUAACAGCAAAAAAUAUAGAACUCUCAGACAAAAACCCAGGGGAAAAGCUUGACAACAUUGCUUUUGGCAGUGAUUUCUAGGAUAUGACACCAAAAGCACAAGCAGCAACAGAAAAAAACAUUAAAUUUAAACCAUCUGUGCACCAAGGACACUGAACAGUGAAAACACAACCAUGAAAUGGGAGAAGAAGUGUCCGUGACAGUCGCUGUCAUGGAAGUCACCUCCCCAGCACCACAAGGGAGAGCCAUCCUUCCUGCAGGGCGGCCACGUGGCCACCUAGGCUGGUCCCGGGAGACCUUGGACCCAGGCUGGUGCCUGCCCCAGCUCCUGUCCCGAGACGUGGCUGAAGGAAACCCGAGUGAAGGCUGAGUGCCCCAUGAGGGACCCGGGCUCUGACACAGACAGACUGUCCCGGCUGGAGUCCAGCUCCUGGACGACCUGGGUCUCCCCGUUCUGCACUGGUAUCGCGCGGUGAGGCGGCGCUGAUCAGAACCUCAAAAGACCUGACCCCGAACACCGUCAUCCCAAAUCCUGAGCUCCUGAAAGAUCAAAACCUAACAUGUUGGUGUUCUGACCAGUUUCUCUGUGAAUGGUUCAUCUGCACAUAACUCAUAUCCACGUGACUGAAUGAGCACACCUGUGUGUCUGUGCUGGAGAAAAUGUUAUGAUCACCGACUUUAUUGGGAUGUCAGCAUUCAGAACUGUGUCCCAGGAUCGUGGCCCAGACCCACAGGGCAGGGGCGUGCACUUUUGAGGGUUCUGAAGACGACUCAACAGGGUGCCUGACCUGCUGGUAAGGACUCAGGAGACCUCACCUGUCCUCGUCACACUCAUGGAAGGGGACUCCAGAUCCCUGGCGUAGCUGGUCUGGGAACUGGGGAGGGAUGGGCAGUGCCCGGUAUAGGGUGCAACCUCCAGUGCCCACAUUAGCACGUCUGUUGCUGUGAGAUUCUAUCCUGUGGACACCUGUGGCUGUAACACACACCUUCCCACUGCUGUCACAGGAGUGAUACUCUUUCCGAUUCUAACAUCAGUGUGUGCACAUUUUGGGAAAACCAGCAAGUACAGAAGAAGAAUUUAGGCCGGGCCCAGUGGCUCACGCCUGGAAUCCCAGCACUUCGGGAAGUCAAGGCAGGAGGAUCGCUGGAGGCCAGGAGUUUGAGAUCAGCCCGGGCAACAUAGUGAGACCUCAUCUCUAUUUAAGAAAGAAAAAGACCACUGGUCCUCCCAGUGUUUACAAGAUUUUUCCAUUAAAACAGGAGGGAUCAUAAUGAGCGGCCUAACAAAGACAUUUAAAGACACGCCAAGAAGGGGCGCAGACAGGAGUCCUGAGAUGCAGUCAUGGGAACCCGCACCUGUUUUCCCGCCCUGGGCACCCAGCGUGGACAGGCUGGCCGGUGCCAGGGUGAGCAGGGCAGGCUGAGGUCUCCAGUGGGUGGGGACAGGUUAGGGGGCAGCAAUUCAGUGACCCUGUCCAGGACUGGGUCCCUUGCAGAAGGUGAGGUCAGCCAGGGGUGGGGGUGGUGGCUGUGGAAUCCGUUGUCUGGUCUAUAGGGGGUCCCCCUACCGAAGCCCUAACCCUCUCCCCUUCACCACCCCAGUGAUCUCCUGGCCCAGGCUGCUGCCUCCAGCAGCUCCCCAGCCCCCAGGACAGUCCUUCAGGACUCUAGGGGGAGUCCCGUCUACAAGGACGGCUCACCAGUCUCCCGCCACAGCCAGUGAGGAUGGGGUCCUGCAGCCGAAGUGGUGUGUGCCCAGUGUGGUGUCCCUGGCAGGCUGGGAGGGUGCCCCCAGCUGCCAGUUAGUGAGGCUGGGUUAGCACGAGGGCAAGGAGCUUGGAUUCUGGGGCUGACAGCCUGAGCUCAACUCCAGCGCCCCAUCUUGCUGGGGCUCCUCCGCCUGGAGGCGGCUCCUCCACCUGCCUCUGCCUCCGUUUCUGCAGCAGUUGCCUGCCGGACUCCAGCCCGAGGCGGGGGCCACGGCUGACCCAGCUGGAGAACGCCCCACUGGCCCAGUCAGUGCUGUCCUCUGCACCUGAUGGCUUCUCUUGGCAGGGAGGGCUCCCCCGCCCCCGGGCUCUGUGCCAGCCAGAGGUUCCGCAGGAGCUGCUCACUUCCUCCCGCCGGCAGAGGCAGCCUGCGGGGCGGCUCCAACCUGGAGAAACCAAAAUCAGGGCAAGUCCCUGGCUGCUUCCCUGGAAAGCCCCGACGGAGUCCCCGCUCCUUCCCGCCGGUUCUCAGGGUGCUUUAUUUCAGAAGGGGAUUUCUUCCUCCUGAGAAUCUGAUGGCCACAGGGUGCCUGUCACAUGUCCACAUCGGGCCCUCCUGGCUGUCACCAACUUGUCCAACUGUCAGAGGUGUUUGAACCAGAGCGACUCCGUCUUGAAUAGGGGCUGGGUGGAAUGAGGCUGGGGCCUGCUGGACUGCGUUCCCGGGAGGGUAAGGCAUUCUUAGUCACAAGACAGGAGGUUGGCACAAGAUACAAGUCACGAAGACCUUGCCGAUAAAGCAGGUUGCAGUAAAGAAGUGGCCAAAUCCCACCAAAACCAAGAUGGUGACUAGAGUGACCUCUGGUCGUGCUCGCCACUCAUUAUACACAAAUUCUAAUGCAUUAGCUGCUAAGAGACACUCCCACCAGCGCCAUGUCCACAAAUGCCAUGGCAACGUCCGAAAGUUACCCUGCACGGUCUAAAAAGGAGAGGAAGCCUCAGUUCUGGGAAUUGACCACCCUUUCCCAGAAAAUUCAUGAAUAAUCCACUCCUUGUUUAACAUAUAAUCAAGAAAUGACCAAAAUAAGCAUAAGAAUAUUCAGCUGAGCAGCCCAGCCCUCCGCACUGCCUCUGGAGUAGCCAUUCUUUAUUCCUUUACUCUAUUAAUAAACUUCUCACUUGA